CCGUGAACCUUUACUAUAGCUUCACACUGGCAAUUGUGUCGUCAUGUGUAGGAUAGGUGGUAGACUAUGAAAGGCAGCGCCAGCUGUUCUGGAGUCAUCCUUGAAAUACCACCCUUGAAGUCAUGAUUGUCUAACCGCGGCGCAACAACGCCCGGGACAGUGUGUGGUGGGUAGUUUGACUGGGGCGGUCGCCUCCCAAAGAGUAACGGAGGCGCGCGAAGGUAGGCUCAGACCGGUCGGAAAUCGGUCGUUGAGUGCAAUGGCAUAAGCCUGCCUGACUGCGAGACUGACAAGUCGAGCAGAGUCGAAAGACGGUCAUAGUGAUCCGGUGGUCCCGUGUGGAAGGGCCAUCGCUCAACGGAUAAAAGGUACUCCGGGGAUAACAGGCUGAUGACGCCCAAGAGUCCAUAUCGACGGCGUUGUUUGGCACCUCGAUGUCGGCUCAUCGCAUCCUGGGGCUGGAGCAGGUCCCAAGGGUUUGGCUGUUCGCCAAUUAAAGCGGUACGUGAGCUGGGUUUAGAACGUCGUGAGACAGUUCGGUCCCUAUCUGCCGUGGGUGUAGGAAUAUUGCGAGGAUCUGUCCCUAGUACGAGAGGACCGGGAUGGACAGACCUCUGGUGGACCUGUUGUGGCGCCAGCCGCAUUGCAGGGUAGCUAUGUUUGGAACGGAUAACCGCUGAAGGCAUCUAAGCGGGAAACCAGCCUCAAAACCAGUAUUCCCUUGAGAGCCGUGGAAGACGACCACGUUGAUAGGCUGGGUGUGGACGUGCAGCAAUGCAUGAAGCUUACCAGUACUAAUUGCUCGAUUGGCUUGAUUGC
rnacentral:rRNA from 1 species